CGUGACUGAAUAAAAUAUGGUCAGGCUCAUUUAUUAUUUUGGAAGACCACUGAACAGAACACAAUCCCAAAAGCCCCAAUUAUUCGUAUUUAUACAAUAAAAAAUAAAAAAGAAAUCUUUAGAAAUUGUUAUGUUGACGAAGAAUUGGGGCCUUGCUGCUGAAUCAGGUUUUCUUGGCUGAAUUUUUAAUUUUUGUUGGAAAACAAUUCUUUCUUCUUUUGAUUUUUUUAAAUUUUGAAAUUCUCAGCUUUGAUCUUUUCUUGCAAGUAAGAUCACCAAGAACCUUCCCACACCCUAAACAACACCUGCAACAAAAUCAUACAAAGGUCGACAAUUAAAAGCUAGAAAAGUUUUUCUUCUUCACAAAAUUACCAACAGAAGCAGUUCGAUUGGUUUCAGGAUAACUUACCUGAAAUUAGCAACACAAGAUGUCCUGCAAAAUUGGAGACAGUGAUUGCACCAAGCCAUACCUUCCCUACCCUUCCCUUCCCUCCCCUCCUGGAUUUUUGGAAAGUGAAAACCUUGUCCGUUUC
rnacentral:lncRNA from 1 species